rnacentral:rRNA from 1 species
GAUGAACGCUGGCGGCGUGCCUAAUACAUGCAAGUCGAACGGACAGGCCAGGAGCUUGCUGCUCUGACGUUAGCGGCGGGCGGGUGAGUAACGCGUGGAUCACCUCCCUAUCAGACUGGGAUAACUACGAAAAACCGGCGCUAAUACCGGAGAAUAUAUUGAACCACGUGGUUCAAUAGUGAAAUACGGUGUUGCUGUCACGAAUAGAUGGAUCCGCGCCGCAUUAGCUAGUUGGUCAGGUAAAGGCCUACCAAGGCGAGCAUGCGUAGCCGACCUGAGAGACGGAUAGGCCACACUGGAACGUAACCACGGUCAAUACUCCUACGAGAGGCAGCAGUCGCGAAUCGUCCGCAACAGGCGAGAACCUGACGCAGCAAGGCGGCGUGUGUGAUGAAGGCCUUCCGUGCGGAAUACUCUGCUUUGAGGGAAGAACAAAUGUGUAAGUAAACAUGCCGGGCUUGACGGUACCUAAUCAGAAAGCCACGGCUAACUACGUG